rnacentral:rRNA from 1 species
AUUGAACGCUGGCGGCAUGCCUUACACAUGCAAGUCGAACGGUAACAGGUCUUCGGAUGCUGACGAGUGGCGAACGGGUGAGUAAUACAUCGGAACGUGCCCGAGAGUGGGGGAUAACGAGGCGAAAGCUUUGCUAAUACCGCAUACGAUCUCAGGAUGAAAGCAGGGGACCGCAAGGCCUUGCGCUCACGGAGCGGCCGAUGGCAGAUUAGGUAGUUGGUGGGAUAAAAGCUACCAAGCCGACGAUCUGUAGCUGGUCUGAGAGGACGACCAGCCACACUGGGACUGAGACACGGCCCAGACUCCUACGGGAGGCAGCAGUGGGGAAUUUUGGACAAUGGGCGCAAGCCUGAUCCAGCCAUGCCGCGUGCAGGAUGAAGGCCUUCGGGUUGUAAACUGCUUUUGUACGGAACGAAAAGACUCCUUCUAAUAAAGGGGGUCCAUGGCGGUACCGUAAGAAUAAGCACCGGCUAACUACGUGCCAGCCGCCGCCGUAAAAC